rnacentral:lncRNA from 1 species
ACAUAGUUGGUGGCUCCACCCAGCCCAGCACACUGAGAACCUGGUGUCCACGGCUUCACGGCAAAGGGAAAAUCAGGGCAUGUAUUUCCUUGCAGAUGUUCUUUGAGUCUCUUUGGGCUCAUGACGGAAGGCACAGAAGCAGAUGAUGACAGAAGGCGCUCUGUGUGGAGGGGAGGAUGCGGCCAAAACGUGCUUCGGUUCCUGGGGUUCGGCACUGAUGCUUGACCAAGUUCUAAAGAAGAUGUGGAAACUGAGGCCCAGAGUGAUGAAGAACGGGCCCAAAUUCACACAGGAAGAAACAAGCCAUUGCCUCUUCCCCGUCACACAGCACCUGCUGUCUUGGGAGAUGAGUCUGAAAUGCUAUGGAUGAAAAGAGAGCAUGGAGAAACUGCCAAAGACCUGCCGACAGUGCAUAUUCAUUUGUUCUUUCAUUAAAAAAUGUUUACG